rnacentral:rRNA from 1 species
AAUAUCAAAGGUGAGCUAGUACAGGAUGGACCCGCGUCUGAUUAGCUAGUUGGUAAGGUAACGGCUUACCAAGGCGACGAUCAGUAGCCGACCUGAGAGGGUGAUCGGCCACAUUGGAACUGAGACACGGUCCAAACUCCUACGGGAGGCAGCAGUGGGGAAUAUUGCACAAUGGGCGAAAGCCUGAUGCAGCAACGCCGCGUGAGGGAUGAAGGCCUUCGGGUCGUAAAACUCUGUCCUCAAGGAAGAUAAUGACGGUACUUGAGGAGGAAGCCCCGGCUAACUACGUGCCAGCAGCCGCGGUAAUACGUAGGGGGCUAGCGUUAUCCGGAUU